rnacentral:rRNA from 1 species
GACAGAGGUCCCGAGCGUUGUUCGGAUUUAUUGGGCGUAAAGGGUGCGUAGGCGGCGGAGUAAGUUGGGUGUGAAAUCUCGGGGCUUAACUCCGAAACUGCAUUCGAUACUGCCGUGCUUGAGGACUGGAGAGGAGACUGGAAUUUACGGUGUAGCGGUGAAAUGCGUAGAUAUCGUAAGGAAGACCAGUGGCGAAGGCGGGUCUCUGGACAGUUCCUGACGCUGAGGCACGAAGGCCAGGGGAGCAAACGGG